ACACCCCUCUCUCUCUUCUCUCGAGUGUCCUUCCACCUCAGCAGGGGCUCAGCUCGAGCCCACGAGGCAACAGCCUCGCAGCAGCAACAACAUCUUUAUGUUAGAGGACCAACGUGCAUGUAAGACGAAC